rnacentral:rRNA from 1 species
AACCUUUACACUGCACGACAGUGCGAUAGGGGGACUCCGAGUGCGAGGGCAUAUAGCCCUCGCUUUUCUGUACCGUAAGGUGGUUCAGGAACAAGGACUGGGCAAGACCGGUGCCAGCCGCCGCGGUAAUACCGGCAGUCCGAGUGAUGGCCGAUAUUAUUGGGCCUAAAGCGUCCGUAGCUGGCCGCACAAGUCCAUCGGAAAAUCCACCCGCUCAACGGGUGGGCGUCCGGUGGAAACUGUGUGGCUUGGGACCGGAAGGCGCGACGGGUACGUCCGGGGUAGGAGUGAAAUCCCGUAAUCCUGGACGGACCGCCGAUGGCGAAAGCACGUCGCGAGACCGGACCCGACAGUGAGGGACGAAAGCCAGGGUCUCGAACCGGAUUAGAUACCCGGGUAGUCCUGGCUGUAAACAAUGCUCGCUAGGUAUGUCACGCGCCAUGAGCACGUGAUGUGCCGUAGUGAAGACGAUAAGCGAGCCGCCUGGGAAGUACGUCCGCAAGGAUGAAACUUAA